rnacentral:rRNA from 1 species
GAUGAACGCUGGCGGCGUGCUUAACACAUGCAAGUCGAACGGAAAGGCCGAAGCUUGCUUCGGUACUCGAGUGGCGAACGGGUGAGUAACACGUGGGUGAUCUGCCCUGUACUUCGGGAUAAGCUUGGGAAACUGGGUCUAAUACCGGAUAUGACAAUCUCUUGGAUGGGGUUGUGGAAAGCCUUUGCGGUAUGGGAUGAGCUCGCGGCCUAUCAGCUUGUUGGUGGGGUAAUGGCCUACCAAGGCGUCGACGGGUAGCCGGCCUGAGAGGGUGUACGGCCACAUUGGGACUGAGAUACGGCCCAGACUCCUACGGGAGGCAGCAGUGGGGAAUAUUGCACAAUGGGCGCAAGCCUGAUGCAGCGACGCCGCGUGGGGGAUGACGGCCUUCGGGUUGUAAACUCCUUUCGCAACCGACGAAGCUUUUGUGACGGUAGGUUGAGAAGAAGCACCGGCUAACUACGUG